GAAAAAAGAGCACAUGAGUCAGUGUAUUCCGGAACAAACAGAGAGCUCAUCUUUCUGGUGGAAACCCCUUAGACGCCAGGAGUCUUGGGCAGAGGUGGCAGUCUGAAGACUGUGACCUUAACCUCGAGUUUGGCUCACUCUGGAUAAUGACACGUUUUUCAAUUAUGGAGUACUCAUGUUGGAAAAAAAGGGUAAGACAAAGUCCUUGCUUAGGAGAAAUUUAAAAUCCUGCUGAUUAAAACAAAAUCGGCAGACACAUGAACAAUCCUGAAGGAAGCCAAGCUGUAUAAAUAUCCUGCGGAGGUCAGGAGGUUCUGUAGCAUAAAUCAGUGCGUUAAAUGCUUACAGAUAUGAAGGGACUUGAGAAUGUUUUCAGUUCUCUCUAUUAUAAAACAAGGUAAGUUAUAGAGGGCAGGGAGGCUGGAGGGCUGACUCGGUCACCUAGGAUCCCUGGUAAUCUCAGAAUCGGAGAUGGGGGAGAGUAAACAAAGCUGUGAAUGGGAGUAAAACACAGCCAAGAGUUCCUUUUCCUUGUGACAUGAGAUUCUUAAUUUAGUCUCUGAAUAAAUUUAAGUCUGAAGUUACUUGAGCCCUGUAUUUUACCUCAGCAUUUUCCCUCCUCUCAAAGCACCAAGAAAAAUCUGGCCAAUCCUCCUUGGCAAAAGCACCUUCAUGUCUUCUUUGGCAGCUGGGAAGUUAGUGACGUUCUGGUUGACUGUUGCCAAAUUUCAUCCCCAGGAAUUCGGAAAUAAGUCUUUUUUUCCUGGAGAGCCCUCAUCCUUGGAGUAUAAGCUCAGCUUCCUGGGGUUU
rnacentral:lncRNA from 10 species